rnacentral:rRNA from 1 species
GACGAACGCUGGCGGCGUGCUUAACACAUGCAAGUCGAACGGGAGUAUUGAAGAAGCUUGCUUUAGAGAUACUUUAGUGGCGGACGGGUGAGUAACGCGUGAGGAGCUGUCCUAUGCAGGGGGACAAUAGCUGGAAACGGCUGCUAAUACCCCAUAAGCCGAGAGGUAAAAGGAUCAAUCCGGCAGAGGAGGUACUCGCGUCCUAUCAGCUAGUAGGUGAGGUAACGGCUCACCUAGGCGAAGACGGGUAGCCGGCCUGAGAGGGCGAACGGCCACACUGGAACUGAGAUACGGUCCAGACUCCUACGGGAGGCAGCAGUGGGGAAUAUUGGGCAAUGGGGGAAACCCUGACCCAGCGACGCCGCGUGGGUGAAGAAAUCCUUCGGGAUGUAAAGCCCUGUUGUAUGGGAAGAGCGGAAGACGGUACCAUACGAGGAAGCCCCGGCAAACUACGUG